CUCGUGGAGUAAGCCACCCCGAACGGGUGGCUGGUCACGUCCCUGCACCAACCAACAAACCCAUAUUUAAUCAAAACGCCAGCAUGCAAUUUGCAGGGGGAAAAUUACCAGUGCGUGAUCAACCAAGUAGUAAUAUACUCUUUGGUGUUGUGCAUGUCGUCGCGCGGGUGUUCCAUGCCCGGCCCGGCGGACAGGCUCCUCCCUCCACGAGCUGCGGCCACCAGCGUCGCCGCGGCGAACCGGCCGAGUCCCGUGCUGGUGCCAGUAGUAGUAGACAACCUGAGCGAGUGCAUGAGAGGAAACAGCUCCUCCGGCGACGAUCG
rnacentral:lncRNA from 1 species